GCGAAAUGUUGCCGAACCCAAAAGUAUUCCAAUCCUCCAUUACCACCAACACACCCUUCACAAAUCCAGUUCCCCUUCAUCUACCAUAAUCAAGCAAUGUUGCAAAUUAUCGCGAGGAGAGCUUGCCAUUUUUGGCAACUCUUCGUUGCUUCUUCUGCUGAGUUCUCAGUAUGUCCAGAGCUAGCUGAAGAAAACUUGCCAGAUUCCAAAGAAAAUGAUCCAUGAGAAAAAAGCAGUACAAGCACUAGACAUAAGUGCAGCAAUAAAACUACAACAAAGCGUGCAUUUCUUGAUAAUAUCAAUUAAUGGAGAACCUGUUGGCCGCCUUAUCAUUGGGCUACACGGAGAGGAUGUCCCAGCUCGACCUGCUGGGUUUAGCAAUCUUGUAAGUGGAGCUGCUGGUAUUAGUUACAGAAGAAAAGAAUUCAUCAAGAUCAUGCCAAACUAUGAGCAGCAUGGUGGGGUAAGGUCAUACGGAGUGAGAUGCUGAGCUUGCACGGAGAACAGGAAGCAACUUGGCAGCUGAAAGUCUCGUGGAUGAAUGGCAGAGGGAAUAUGAGACCCGCCCACGUAUCAAGAUUUUGGUUGGAGCUGUAAGCAUUAUUGUGAGAGAUCCUUCCAAACCGCCUCCAAAGUUGAAGUUAGUCGCAAGGCAAGGAAACCUUGAGAUUGAUCAAGAAGAAGUUGGGAUUGAUCCGAGCAGUACAGAGUUUGUGAUAGCCACCAAGGAAUCACCAGAGUUGGAUGCAUCAUCUCUGAUAGUUGGAAGUGUAUUGAAAGGGAUGGAGGUUGUAGACAAGAUUGGACAAGUGAAGACCUCGCAGGAGAAAAUCAGAUCUCCUUAUUUCAGAGCUGCCAGGCUGAUUCGAGGCAAAGGAGCUGUCGUUGCAGAAAGAGGCUUUGACCGACAGUAUUCUAAGGUGGUAGUCGCAAAUUGUGGCUUGGAGCUAACACCAAAUGUUCGUUGCAACCCUUUUCUAUUGAUUUAUUUUUAAAAUGAAGGGACAACAAUUUUUUUUUUUUUUAGAAUAAAUUUCAUUGCCAUUCCUCUCUACAA